AUGUGUACAUAUAUACACACACAUAACCCACCUCACCCCAAGUGUGUGUAUAUAUGUACACAU
rnacentral:miRNA from 1 species